GGGGCUGAUUAGAAUCGACAGGGGAUAAUCAGGCAAGUUGGUGCAUGCCGAGGUGGUGGCGAGGCCUCGUAAAACACGUCACAAAUGAUAGAUGCUGACAAACUCAGCUGGAGCAAUAGGUCCUUUGGGCCUAUGGUUCUACCUCUCGCUGCCUAAUUAGGUUCAGCGACGUUUCUUGGGUUUUUAGCCUUGAAGGCCUUUGAAACGACAUCAACAAGGAUAGUCUCAUUUGUUUGCUUUCAGUGAAUGAGAUGAAAUCUUUGAAAGCUCGUUUUCGGAAAUCCUGGCUGUAGGAGUUUCGGGAACUAAAUCAAACUAUAGCCUGAGCAUGGAGAGCCGCUUGUGUGAGUCUCACUGGACGUGGGUGCAAUUCCCACCAGCUCCACCA
rnacentral:tmRNA from 2 species